GAUGAACGCUGGCGGCGUGCCUAAUACAUGCAAGUCGAGCGAACAGACGAGGAGCUUGCUCCUCUGACGUUAGCGGCGGACGGGUGAGUAACACGUGGAUAACCUACCUAUAAGACUGGGAUAACUUCGGGAAACCGGAGCUAAUACCGGAUAAUAUAUUGAACCGCAUGGUUCAAUAGUGAAAGACGGUUUUGCUGUCACUUAUUGAUGGAUCCGCGCCGCAUUAGCUAGUUGGUAAGGUAACGGCUUACCAAGGCAACGAUGCGUAUCCGACCUGAGAGGGUGAUCGGCCACGCUGGAACUAGGACACGGUCCAGACUCCUACGGGAGGCAGCAGUAGGGAAUCUUCCGCAAUGGGCGAAAGCCUGACGGAGCAACGCCGCGUGAGUGAUGAAGGUCUUCGGAUCGUAAAACUCUGUUAUUAGGGAAGAACAAAUGUGUAAGUAACUAGGCACGUCUUGACGGUACCUAGUCAGAAAGCCACGGCUAACUACGUG
rnacentral:rRNA from 1 species